GGAGAAAUGGCUGGUUCUGUUACAGCUGCUUUCCAGAGAUCUUCUCACCCCCGUUCCUCGUAGUUCAGCUUCACUCUCCUGAUGGCAAACCUUGAAAACCCAAGAAGGGUUUUCUGGUUGGGAGAGGAGCUGAUGGCAGGGAGCGAAGGCUCAGCAGCAGGGAUGUUCUGGAGCACUGCAUGGUGGAGGCUGGAAUGGGAGCAGGGUAGGUGACAGUGGGCACCGCACAGGGAUACAACCUCCCAGGGAUGUGGGGCAAAGCCACCCACAGCUCUGACCCCAAAAGAUGGGAAGGCUGAGCUUGUGGUUCUCAGAUAGCUUGUUGGUGAUGGUUGCUGCUUUGGUGUUAUUUUCUCAACAGAUUUCUCCUUGAUAAUCUUGUGUUUCCUGAUUCCGGUAGGAAGGUGAUGCCAGCCCCCAGAAGCUCUGAUUUGCACAGUCUACCUCCUGUGCUUGAUGCAACACGCAAAUAAAUAAGU
rnacentral:lncRNA from 1 species